rnacentral:lncRNA from 1 species
UGAUGAAUACUAUAGGCUUGGGGCCUAGCCAGGCAAAAGAAUUUUUACCUGCAGAGUAUUUAGCAGUUUUGUGUUAGUAAAAAAAGCAGGGCUUAUACUAAACCUAAAUCAAACUCUAUAUCGAGUAUCCAGAAUCCAUAAACUCAAAAUCUUAGCUCCAUCCUGGGUACAAACGUUUUACAAGAAGAACUAUACUAUGCCACAAUACUUCAACUAGAGGAGCGACCAGUUGGUUCACCAAACCCCAACCUAGCGUCACAUGUUCUCUUCAAAUACAAGGAGAUCUAGAGACAAACUACCGACUCCUCCAAAAAUUACAUUAUUAAGCGAAAAAUAAUUGUUAGUGGACCACCACCACUUUUUAACAAUUGCAUGAAGUCGAAGACAUAAUUCCGUAGAUAAAAGUUUGCUCCCUUUAAUAGUUUGCAUGAUCACACAUUUAAACAUGAUAUCAGAUCAGGAAAAGCAAAGAUUGGAUUCAUGUCUUAUAUAAAAAAAAAUAUAUGUGAUUGGUCCAUGAAAAGAAUAUGAUUAUGCAGACAUGAUAUCAGAUCAGGCAAGGAAGAAAAAUAAGUAAUAAAAAAAAAAAUUAAAAACUAGAUUGUUGUAGUUACCAUUUUGUUGAUGGAGUCACAGAAAAAAGGGAUGAGCCUUUGAGGUACAUCAUCAGAGAAAUUGAUAGGCUUAGAUUUGGCUUCAUUGAGUUUAUUUGUAAGCUCUUUCAAAUCUCCAUAGAGUAAUUUGUAUGGAUUUCCCUUAAGACCACUCUUUCUUAAGUAUUUCUCAAGUUUUUUUGGGCUUCGUCCUAUACUCAUAUACAAACAUUUAUGCCUUUGGUUUUCUAUAGACACUUUUUCUUUUGAAUUUUCUAUAAAAAAAUUUUAAAUAUUUGCUUUAUGUUAUAUCAUGUAUUCAGAAUAGUAAAUCAGAAAUACUGAGUCCACAUAAUUCACUAUGUGUUCUUAAGAAAUUUAAUCCACUCAAUGUACCCGAGGUUGUGGAUUAUUGCCUCCCAGGAUAAAAUGGAUAUACCUAUUAAAAAAGUAGUGGUACCUCACACUUCAAUAACUUCAGCAAACUCAAAAGUCAGCAACGAAAUCAUCAUACAUAUUAAAGAAGUAGUGAUACCUCACACUUUAGCAACAAAAUCAUACAUAUUAAAGAAGUAGUGGUACCUCACACUUUAAUAAUUUCAGCGAACUCAAAAGACAGCAACGAAAUCACACAAUGACUCUACUUUAAGGAGAAAAUUCCAACAAAAUACUUGGUUUGUAAGAAAAUACGUGUAUGCAGAAGAAGGAAAAAAAUUGAUAUGAUGGUGCGGUGUGAACUCACAUGUUCAGAAUAGGCAUGUCGAUGCCGAGGCCGAGCGAGCGACGAUGAUGCGAGGGCACCCUCUCCUUAGCCCUUUAAGGGGUAAAGGAAGUGUUUCACUAAACAUAAAUUCGAUUGCUAAGAAAAAAAAUUAAAAUCAAUCAAAAGCUAAAUAACCUUGAUAACAUUAACAAAACUGCAGUUAAUGUUUUAAAUUCGAAGCAUGACUUCCGCGAUCACCCAACAAUUUAGUAUCGAUCAUUUGAAUGAUGCAUGUAGAUCAACGUACAACGCAAAUGACGUACAUAUCAUCUUAAAGUUUGCGCAUAAGCAGAGGAGCACCAUACUGAGGAUGAAUAGACACUACUGCAACUGGAGCAUGUGUAUAUGAUGGUGAGAGUUCAAAGGAGAACUUUUGUAGUAUCAUUGUUAUUGCCAUCUUUGCUUCCAUCAUUGCAAAGUUUUGUCCAAUGCAAAUUCGGGGUCCCCAACCAAAUGGAAUAAACGAGACUUGUCCAUUUGUUGCCUUUGACACUCCUUCACUGAAUCUUUCAGGUUUGAAUUCCUUCGCGUCUUCACCCCAUAAUUCCUUGUUAUAAUGUACUAAGAUUGCGGGUAUAACGAGUAGUACUUCAGCUGGCAGACUCAGCUCACCCAAUUUGACUUCAUCUUUGUUCCUUCUACCAUAUAUCGGUGCUGGGGGGAACAACCUUAACGUCUCGUACAAGAUCAUUGUCACCUAAGGAAAACAAACAUGUAUUGCAUAAGUUGACAGUAGAAUUAUUUCACUUAUGAGAAAUUCUGAAAACUACUUACAAUUUUGAGACGACUUAGUCCUUCAAAAUCUGGUUUUUCAUUUCCGAAUACAUUCAAAACCUCCUCUCUUGCACGUACUUGCCACUCUGGAUGUAGGCAUAGUAAUAUCGUUGUCCAUACGAGCAACACUGAAGUGGUAUCUUGUCCAGCAAAAUAGAAUAACUUGCACUCUUCAAUCACUUCUAUUGUUGUCAAUCCGAAAUCUUUGCUUCCGUGUUGUUCAAUUUCUUUCGUAUUGGAUUCAAGUAAUAUGCCUAAUAAAUCUUCAUUAUUAGUCUCCCCUGCUUGCAUCGCCAUCAAUCUUUUGUCAAUGAUACGCCUAAUUGUCGUUUGAAUUUCCUUUUCGAUUUCCAGCAUUCUUUUCUUCUUCUUACUAGGCAAGAACCUUAUAACAAAAAUCCAAGUAAAUUCUCUAUGCUAUGAAGUAGAAAUUUGAUCAAAUACUUUAAAAUUGUACGUACCUCGAUCCUGGUAUAUAAAUCGAAAAAACUUGUUCCAUUACAUACUCAGCUUGUUCUUUUUGCAGUUCAAAUACUUUUCUUCCUUCUUCAUAACUACUCCCAAAUGCAAUUCGAGAAAUGACUUCACCUAUCAUUAGUUGAAAAUGUGGCCAUACAUCGAGCUCGACUGAUGUUUCCUUUGGAACAGCCUCCUCCCAUUUGCUUAGCAUUUCACUACAACUCUGAUAAAAUGCUAGAACCAUAUGCUGUUACUUAGACAGGUUAAUCACUCAUGAUCACUAUACUAGCUAUACGCAAAAAGAAAAAAAUAGUAAUAUGUAUAACCUUUAGUUUCUCAAAAUGGAAGGCGGGAUUGAUGAUUUUUCUAUAUUUAGCCCAUUUCUGUUCCUCAAGGGUAACGAGACCUCGAACCAAUAACUUCGCGAAUGGAUUAGAAUGCUUAUUCUUGUUAUACACAUAAUGUUUUUCAAAAAUUAUCUUUAUAAGUGAAGGUUCUGUGAUGAAUACUAUAGGCUUGGGGCCUAGCCAGGCAAAAGAAUUUUUACCUGCAGAGUAUUUAUCAGUUUUGUGUUAGUAAAAAAAGCAAAGCUUAUACUAAAAUAGAUUGUAAGUGAUAUAUCGCCUACGGGUUCAACAAAACUAGUACUAGUUUUAGUUCAAACUCUAUAUCAGACUCAGCUCACCCAAUUUGACUUCAUCUUUGUUCCUUCUACCAUAUAUCGGUGCUGGGGGGAACAACCUUAACGUCUCGUACAAGAUCAUUGUCACCUAAGGAAAACAAACAUGUAUUGCAUAAGUUGACAGUAGAAUUAUUUCACUUAUGAGAAAUUCUGAAAACUACUUACAAUUUUGAGACGACUUAGUCCUUCAAAAUCUGGUUUUUCAUUUCCGAAUACAUUCAAAACCUCCUCUCUUGCACGUACUUGCCACUCUGGAUGUAGGCAUAGUAAUAUCGUUGUCCAUACGAGCAACACUGAAGUGGUAUCUUGUCCAGCAAAAUAGAAUAACUUGCACUCUUCAAUCACUUCUAUUGUUGUCAAUCCGAAAUCUUUGCUUCCGUGUUGUUCAAUUUCUUUCGUAUUGGAUUCAAGUAAUAUGCCUAAUAAAUCUUCAUUAUUAGUCUCCCCUGCUUGCAUCGCCAUCAAUCUUUUGUCAAUGAUACACCUAAUUGUCGUUUGAAUUUCCUUUUCGAUUUCCAGCAUUCUUUUCUUCUUCUUACUAGGCAAGAACCUUAUAACAAAAAUCCAAGUAAAUUCUCUAUGCUAUGAAGUAGAAAUUUGAUCAAAUACUUUAAAAUUGUACGUACCUCGAUCCUGGUAUAUAAAUCGAAAAAACUUGUUCCAUUACAUACUCAGCUUGUUCUUUCUGAAGUUCAAAUACUAUUCUCCCUUCUUCAUAGCUACUCCCAAAUGCAGUUCGAGAAAUGACUUCACCGGUCAUUAGUUGAAAGUGUGGCCAUACAUCGAGCUCGACUGAUGUUUCCUUUGGAACAGCCUCCUCCCAUUUGCUUAGCAUUUCACUACAACUCUGAUAAAAUGCUGGAACCAUAUGCUGUUAUGUAGACGGGUUAAUUUCACUCAUGAUCACUAAGGUCAGUCUAUUUACGAGCUAUACACAAAAACAAAUAUUAUAAUAGUAUAUAUAACCUUUAGUUUCUCAAAAUGGAAGGCGGGAUUGAUGAUUUUUCUAUAUUUAGCCCAUUUCUGUUCCUCAAGGGUAACGAGACCUCGAACCAAUAACUUCGCGAAUGGAUUAGAAUGCUUAUUCUUGUUAUACACAUAAUGUUUUUCAAAAAUUAUCUUUAUAAGUGAAGGUUCUGUGAUGAAUACUAUAGGCUUGGGGCCUAGCCAGGCAAAAGAAUUUUUACCUGCAGAGUAUUUAUCAGUUUUGUGUUAGUAAAAAAAGCAAAGCUUAUACUAAAAUAGAUUGUAAGUGAUAUAUCGCCUACGGGUUCAACAAAACUAGUACUAGUUUUAGUUCAAACUCUAUAUUUGUGUUUAAAAAUCUAUUUAAUACGUAGAGAUAUAUAAUUCAUCAAGAACUCAAUAAGCUGCUUUUUCAAGAAUCCAGAAUUCAUAAACUCAAUUAUACUAUGCCACGAUACUUCAACUAGAGGAGCGACCAGUUGGUUCACCAGACCCCAACCUAGCAUCACACUUUCUAGAGACAAAAGUAUGGAACUCCUCCCAAAAUUACAUUAUUCGAGCCAAAAAUGGCCGUUAGUGGACUACCUCCACGUUUUAAAUGAGAUGGUCACACAUUUAAACAUGAUAUCGGAUCAGGCAAAGACCAUGGAUUCAAGUCGUAUAUAUAUAAACAAAAAUUAUGCGAUUGGUCCAUGAAAAGAAUAUGAUUAAGCAAACUUGCUAGAUUCUUGUACUUACCAUUUUUGUUGAUGGAGUCACAGAAAAAAGGGAUGAUCCUUUGAGGUACAUCAUCAGAGAAAUUGAUGGGCUUAGAUUUGGCUUCAUUGAGUUUAUUUGUAAGCUCUUUCAAAUCUCCAUAGAGUAAUUUGUAUGGAUUUCCCUUAAGACCACUCUUUCUUAAGUAUUUCUCAAGUUUUUUUGGCCUAAACCAUGCCCAAUUCAACACUUUCCAUGUGUAAAUUACUAACAAAAUUGCAACACAAGUUGUUGCUAUCAUCUCUACUCCCACAAGUGAUAAGUACUCCAUAUUUAAAAAGGCUUCUCUCAAGUACUCUUUUCUCUUAUAUAUAUGAAACAUAAAUUAAGCAUAUCCAGACAUCUCAAUUCAUCUUACUGUGUCAGUUGAACACUUGAAUUAACUUACAAAAAAAUGAUCAUCUAGACACUUCUAAAAUUUAUGUGUUACAUAAUUGUCGGGGUGUCCAUGAGACACAAUGUGGACGACUUGUGAUGUCUAGAUAUGCA